CUAAGACUGGACUGUGGGCCAGCCUGUGGGACGUUUUCUUAAUUAGUGAUUGAUGGAGGAGUGUUCAGCCCACUGGGGGUGUAAGGGUCCAUGAUUUGCUAAAGAAUGAUACCCUAGACUCAAGUUGUAUGCAAAAGUGAAGAGCUUUUGCUAAAGUCCAGCAUGCUGGGGUCUGCCAAGAUGGAGAUGCCCAGGUUAGUUCCAAGGUCCAAUUUAAAGUGGUUUGGGGGAAUUCCAAGGAUAAAGGUGACCUUUACUUCAUUUGGUUGGCUCUAUCUCCAGAGAAGCCCCAGAAUGGUUGCUAGGGGGCUGGAAAUUGUUGCCGACUCUGCCCUUGCCUCAGGCCAGGUGGUAGGGCAGCCUCUGAUGGUGAGGCAGUUUCUGAUUGGCUGCCUGAGGCCAGGUGGUGGGCAGCCUCUGAUGGUGAGGCAGUUUCUGAUUGGCUGCCUGAGGCCAGGUGGUGGGCAGCCUCUGAUGGUGAGGCAGUUUCUGAUUGGCUGCCUGAGGCCUAGGGUUUUUCCAAUAACUGACUUGCCUGGAUUUGUCUAGUUCUGGGAAACAAAUGUUUAGGUCUAGUCUCCUGACCUACCAGAUUGAAGACUGCCAUGGAGUCAGCGUCUGAGUGAUCCCAUGGGUAGUGCCACCCACUGAGCUGUUGGUCCUGGGUUCUAUAAGAAAGCGGGCUGAGGAAGUCAUGAGGAGCAAGCCAGUAAGCUUCUCCUGCCUCCAGGUUCUGCCUGGUCUCAGUACUGCCUUGGCGCCCCUCAGUGAGCUAUGACUCUAGAAAUGUAAACCAUAUAAACUCUUUCCUCCUGGGGUGCUUUUGCUCUGGUAUCGCAUCACAACGGCAGUAACCCCAAGACACCCACUGAGUCCAGUCCGUGCUAAUUGUUGGAAUGUUGAGUAAUCCUGCAGGCUUGAUUUUGUCUAAUAGCCACAGCUGCAAUGAGUUCACGGCAAUGUCACAUCCUGAAGGUUGUACCAUGCCCAUCUGUCCUCAGACUCUGGCGUUCUAUCUAUCCUAUCUGGUGUUCCUCAAGCCUUGGUUGGGGCGGGAGUGAUAUAAAUGUCCCAUCUAGGGUGCUCAAUAGUCAUUUAUUCUCAGCAUCUUUACAUUCAUCGCUGACUACUGUGGAGAAGUUUCCCUCGCACUAUUGAGUAUAGCUCUAUUAAAUAUGAACAUCAGAAAGGCAGUUUAAUAAUAUGCCCAUGGGAUCCCUUUCUUACUUCAGCCUAGAUUUGUUUGUUCGUUUGUUUUUCAAGACAGAUUUUCUCUGUGUAGUCCUGGCUAUCCUGAAACUGGCUCUGUAUAGGCCAGGUUAGCCUGGAACUCAGAGAUCUGUCUGUCUUCCUGAGCACUGAGGUUAAAGGCCUGUUCCACCACCAGCCAGUUUAUAAUAAAUCUAUUAACCCUCUCUCAACCUAGAAGAAUACUGGAGCUUUUCUUUAAAAGUAUAUUGGUCAAGAGAAAAUUUUAGGUUCUUCUCUGGGAGAAAGGAGACGAAUGAUUCACAAUGAGACGAGGGGGACUGUAACUGACUGUAUUCCAGACAGUACAAACCGGUCUCCCUUCCAACCCCAGCUUCAGAAGUGCAGCAACAGUGCCACCUCCCUGCAGGAGACAACAGGAACCUCAAAGGAAGAGAUUCAGACUGUUAUCAACCUUUGCUCCUAUCCCCUGGAGGAACCAGCCGUCACCUAACACAAUCCCAAUCCAAGUUCCUGUAAUGUGUGACACAAAUUUUAUGAUUUUUUUUUUAACUGCAAAUUGACAACCAGAGGAUAUCGUGAUAAUGGUCAGAAGUCUCUACUAAGAAAGUGAGAAGCGGGUGCUGGAGAGAUGGCUCAGUGGUUAAGAGCACUGGCUGCUGUUGCAGAGGACCCAGAUUCAGUCAACAGCCCCUACUGCUAACAGCCUCCAUAACUCAGGUUCCGGGAAUCAGAGGCUCUUUUCUGACCUUGGGCACAAGGCACACAUGUGAUGAACAGAAAGUGGGGACUGCAGUCAUCAACUCACAGCAGCUAUGGUUACCUACCCAAGACCAAGCCAGUCAAAUCUCAAGAAUGUAUAGGGGAGGAGUUGAGGUCCUGCCUCUAACCAUGGAACUAUUUAUUAGCAGUUUAUAGUCGCUGGGGAAAAGGAGAAUUGUUCUUUUUUAUAUUUUGUAAGAUUUGUUUAGCCAGGCCUUGGUGGCAACGUGCCUUUUAUCCCAACACUCAGGAGGCAAAGGCAGGUGGAUAUCUGUCAGUUCGAGGCUGGCCUGGUCUACAGAGUAUGUUCCAGGAUAGCUAGAACUACAGAGAAACCGUGUCUCAAAAAACAAAAAAACAAAACAGAAAAACAAAAUGAAAUGGCAUUAUUUUAUUCUUGUGUAUGAGUGUUUUGCCUUCAUGUAGCUCAUAUGUGUGGCUGGUGCUCUGGGAGGUCAGAGGAGGGCUUUAGAUCCCCUGUAACUGGAGUUGCAGAUGAUUGUAGGAGCAGAACCCUGGUCCUCUGCAAGAGCAACAAGUGCUCCACCACUGAGCCGUCUCUCCAGCCCUAGAGAUUCAUUCUUUUAGUGGGUAUGGAGACUGGUAGAUUGCUCAUGCUUGCAGAAAGUUUUAAUCCUCAUCUGGGGUUUCUAUUCCACCUUUGACCAUUUAGUUCCUGGAUAAAAGACGCACA
rnacentral:lncRNA from 1 species